rnacentral:rRNA from 1 species
GUAAUGUCUGGGAAACUGCCUGAUGGAGGGGGAUAACUACUGGAAACGGUGGCUAAUACCGCAUAACGUCGCAAGACCAAAGAGGGGGACCUUCGGGCCUCUUGCCAUCAGAUGUGCCCAGAUGGGAUUAGCUUGUUGGUGAGGUAACGGCUCACCAAGGCGACGAUCCCUAGCUGGUCUGAGAGGAUGACCAGCCACACUGGAACUGAGACACGGUCCAGACUCCUACGGGAGGCAGCAGUGGGGAAUAUUGCACAAUGGGCGCAAGCCUGAUGCAGCCAUGCCGCGUGUAUGAAGAAGGCCUUCGGGUUGUAAAGUACUUUCAGCGGGGAGGAAGGUGUUGUGGUUAAUAACCGCAGCAAUUGACGUUACCCGCAGAAGAAGCACCGGCUAACUCCGUGCCAGCAGCCGCGGUAAUACGGAGGGUGCAAGCGUUAAUCGGAAUUACUGGGCGUAAAGCGCACGCAGGCGGUCUGUCAAGUCGGAUGUGAAAUCCCCGGGCUCAACCUGGGAACUGCAUUCGAAACUGGCAGGCUUGAGUCUUGUAGAGGGGGGUAGAAUUCCAGGUGUAGCGGUGAAAUGCGUAGAGAUCUGGAGGAAUACCGGUGGCGAAGGCGGCCCCCUGGACAAAGACUGACGCUCAGGUGCGAAAGCGUGGGGAGCAAACAGGAUUAGAUACCCUGGUAGUCCACGCCGUAAACGAUGUCUACUUGGAGGUUGUGCCCUUGAGGCGUGGCUUCCGGAGCUAACGCGUUAAGUAGACCGCCUGGGGAGUACGGCCGCAAGGUUAAAACUCAAAUGAAUUGACGGGGGCCCGCACAAGCGGUGGAGCAUGUGGUUUAAUUCGAUGCAACGCGAAGAACCUUACCUGGUCUUGACAUCCACAGAACUUUCCAGAGAUGGAUUGGUGCCUUCGGGAACUGUGAGACAGGUGCUGCAUGGCUGUCGUCAGCUCGUGUUGUGAAAUGUUGGGUUAAGUCCCGCAACGAGCGCAACCCUUAUCCUUUGUUGCCAGCGAUUAGGUCGGGAACUCAAAGGAGACUGCCAGUGAU